rnacentral:rRNA from 1 species
ACUCCUACGGGAGGCAGCAGUGGGGAAUUUUGGACAAUGGGCGAAAGCCUGAUCCAGCCAUGCCGCGUGCAGGAUGAAGGCCUUCGGGUUGUAAACUGCUUUUGUACGGAACGAAAAGACUCUGGUUAAUACCUGGGGUCCAUGACGGUACCGUAAGAAUAAGCACCGGCUAACUACGUGCCAGCAGCCGCGGUAAUACGUAGGGUGCAAGCGUUAAUCGGAAUUACUGGGCGUAUAGCGUGCGCAGGCGGUUAUAUAAGACAGAUGUGAAAUCCCCGGGCUCAACCUGGGAACUGCAUUUGUGACUGUAUAGCUAGAGUACGGCAGAGGGGGAUGGAAUUCCGCGUGUAGCAGUGAAAUGCGUAGAUAUGCGGAGGAACACCGAUGGCGAAGGCAAUCCCCUGGGCCUGUACUGACGCUCAUGCACGAAAGCGUGGGGAGCAAACAGGAUUAGAUACCCUGGUAGUCCACGCCCUAAACGAUGUCAACUGGUUGUUGGGUCUUCACUGACUCAGUAACGAAGCUAACGCGUGAAGUUGACCGCCUGGGGAGUACGGCCGCAAGGUUGAAACUCAAAUGAAUUGACGG